CCCUUAGAUGUUCUGGGCCGCACGCGCGCUACACUGAUGAAUUCAACGAGCACUAACCUGUGCCGAAAGGUUCGGGUAAUCUUGUGAAAUUUCAUCGUGAUGGGGAUUGAUUAUUGCAAUUUUUAAUCAUAAACGAGGAAUGCCUAGUAAGCGUGAGUCAUCAGCUCACGUUGAUUACGUCCCUGCUCUUUGUACACACCGCCCGUCGCUCCUACCGAUUGAAUGUGCCAGUGAAAAGUUAGGAUUGGGCGUGGGAGACGGCAACGUAUUCCACAUCCGAGAAAAUCUUUAAACUUUCCCAUUUAGAGGAAGGAGAAGCCGUAACA
rnacentral:rRNA from 1 species